GUAAAUAAGAAUUUAAACAUUAUAUAUUCAUUAAUAUUUAUGUUUAAAUAUCAAAAAGAUAUACUCCACAAAACUUUUAUUAUUUGUGUUUAUAAUAAAAGAUUUUAAAGAAAUUGUUUACAAAAAUUAUCAAAAUUUUCAAGAAAUUAAAAGAAUGGUUUUUAUUUAUAAUUUCAAACAUUUAUUUUUAACUUAUAAUGAGAAUUUAAAAAGUUCUUGAAAUAUUUGUGAGGGCUUCUCUUCGUUUUAUCAUUUUUUUUU
rnacentral:misc_RNA from 1 species